UUGUAGACAUUCCUAGACACUCCUUGGGCCAGAAGGGAACCCGCUGUCAUGAAGGGAAGGACCCAAUCCUGGCAGCAUUCAUCACCUGCUGACUCAAGGGUCCUUGAGCCCUGAAUAACCAGCAGUGAUACUCAGGUACCAAGUUGAGGGCCUUAGGUGAGCCUCUCAGAUAACUGGCUGCAGGAACAAACCAUGUGGGCCAAGACAGCCUCCAAAAAGGGUGGAUACAUGGCUGGAAUUGUCCCAGCAGUGAACAGCCACACUGAUAUCAGCAAGUUUUAUAAAAUAUUAUAUCAUGUGCACUGCCAUCAAACAGAGAAUACAACUCAAAAAAGAUACAGGAUCUCACUAUGUUGCCCAGGCUGUAGUGCAGUCGUUUUUCACAGGUGUGAUGACAGUGCAUGAUCCUGGCCUCAAGUGAUCCCCUCCACCUCAUCUCCUGAAUAUAGAGACGGCGUUUCACCAUGUUGACCAGGAUGGUCUCGAUCUGUUGACUUCGUGAUCCACCCUCCUCGGCCUCCCACAGGGAUUACAGGCGUGAACCACCGCGCCCGGCCCUGUAUUCUUUACAUACCUUAAAGAAUCUUUAAAGGACUUUGUUUAAUACACUAGUGCUAAUGGUUCGAUUUAGUGCACUCAUCCUGGCUCCUGGGAUUCCUCACAGCAAACGGGGAAAGACUGAGUCUGCUGAUUCACGGAGAUCAUGGCUACCUCUCCUCCUGGGGGCUCAGUCCCGGGGAGUUCAGAGUUCUGUCCCUAAACCCCUGGCGGGAGCUGCUGGAACUCCUGCAGGGAGGCCCCACCCGCUGAGGAGGGAUGGGUCAGAGUCCGGCCUAAAGAGGCAGGCUGGCCACGAUCUGCCACUGCUGCUGCGCUGGGCUGAAUCCUCUUGCGUCCAAAGUGUGCAGUCUCCCCAGCACCAGCAUGGGAAAAAUGGCAGACUGGAGCUGCAGUGAUGGCUACUGCCCCUCCUCCUGGAGCUCGGUCAUCUCAGGCAGCAGGCAGCAGGAGUGAUGUGGGCAGCAGCGCCUCUUCCCCCCACCACAGAACUCGGUAGUCCUAGGGAGCCUCCAGCUGAGUGGCCGCUGAGAAUCUGCACAGCUCUGUGCUUGGGUUCCAAGGCCCUGGUGGCCUGGGCUCAUGAGAGGGUCUCCUGAUCCAUGGGAUGCACAGAUCCAUGGAAAAAGCAUGGCUUCCCAGGCAGGGUAGCAUGAUCACUCACGGCCCCCCUUGCCCGUGUGGCUCCCAGGUGGGCCAUAGCACCAUCCUGCUUUUCCUUGCUCCCUGUGGGUCAUGCCAACUGCCUAGUCAGUCCCAGUGACAGAACCUGGGUACGUUGGUUGUCGGUGCAGGAUUCACCCGCCGUUUUGCUGCUUCUAGGCGGGAGACUCUGCCUACAGCUGAUUCUAGUGGCCUACAGCCUUGGCCCUGUGUUAAGUUUAGAUAUUAUUUGCAAAGAGUGUACAGUACAGUUUUUUUUUUCCAGUUUUGGUUUCAAAAAAUUGUGUGCCGUCAGAAUCUUUAAAAUAUUUUGUUUAAUACAUUAGUACU